rnacentral:tRNA from 1 species
GGGGCCAUGGCUUAGUGGAAGAGUUUCUGCUUUCCAUGCAGAAGGUCCUAGGUUCAAUCCCUGGCAUCUCCA